rnacentral:rRNA from 1 species
UGUUUCGGCUAGGGGGCCAUCCCGGCUUACCAACCCGAUGCAAACUGCGAAUACCGGAGAAUGUUAUCACGGGAGACACACGGCGGGUGCUAACGUCCGUCGUGAAGAGGGAAACAACCCAGACCGCCAGCUAAGGUCCCAAAGUCAUGGUUAAGUGGGAAACGAUGUGGGAAGGCCCAGACAGCCAGGAUGUUGGCUUAGAAGCAGCCAUCAUUUAAAGAAAGCGUAAUAGCUCACUGGUCGAGUCGGCCUGCGCGGAAGAUGUAACGGGGCUAAACCAUGCACCGAAGCUGCGGCAGCGACGCUCAGGCGUUGUUGGGUAGGGGAGCGUUCUGUAAGCCUGUGAAGGUGGCCUGUGAGGGUUGCUGGAGGUAUCAGAAGUGCGAAUGCUGACAUAAGUAACGAUAAAGCGGGUGAAAAGCCCGCUCGCCGGAAGACCAAGGGUUCCUGUCCAACGUUAAUCGGGGCAGGGUGAGUCGACCCCUAAGGCGAGGCCGAAAGGCGUAGUCGAUGGGAAACGGGUUAAUAUUCCCGUACUUGGUGUUACUGCGAAGGGGGGACGGAGAAGGCUAUGUUGGCCGGGCGACGGUUGUCCCGGUUUAAGCGUGUAGGUGUGUGUUCCAGGUAAAUCCGGUUCACUUUAACACUGAGGCGUGACGACGAGGCACUACGGUGCUGAAGCAACAAAUGCCCUGCUUCCAGGAAAAGCCUCUAAGCAUCAGGUAACAUCAAAUCGUACCCCAAACCGACACAGGUGGUCAGGUAGAGAAUACCAAGGCGCUUGAGAGAACUCGGGUGAAGGAACUAGGCAAAAUGGUGCCGUAACUUCGGGAGAAGGCACGCUGACACGUAGGUGAAGUGAUUUACUCAUGGAGCUGAAGUCAGUCGAAGAUACCAGCUGGCUGCAACUGUUUAUUAAAAACACAGCACUGUGCAAACACGAAAGUGGACGUAUACGGUGUGACGCCUGCCCGGUGCCGGAAGGUUAAUUGAUGGGGUCAGCGCAAGCGAAGCUCCUGAUCGAAGCCCCGGUAAACGGCGGCCGUAACUAUAACGGUCCUAAGGUAGCGAAAUUCCUUGUCGGGUAAGUUCCGACCUGCACGAAUGGCGUAAUGAUGGCCAGGCUGUCUCCACCCGAGACUCAGUGAAAUUGAACUCGCUGUGAAGAUGCAGUGUACCCGCGGCAAGACGGAAAGACCCCGUGAACCUUUACUAUAGCUUGACACUGAACAUUGAGCCUUGAUGUGUAGGAUAGGUGGGAGGCUUUGAAGCGUGGACGCCAGUCUGCGUGGAGCCGACCUUGAAAUACCACCCUUUAAUGUUUGAUGUUCUAACGUGGACCCGUUACCCGGGUUGCGGACAGUGUCUGGUGGGUAGUUUGACUGGGGCGGUCUCCUCCUAAAGAGUAACGGAGGAGCACGAAGGUUGGCUAAUCCUGGUCGGACAUCAGGAGGUUAGUGCAAUGGCAUAAGCCAGCUUGACUGCGAGCGUGACGGCGCGAGCAGGUGCGAAAGCAGGUCAUAGUGAUCCGGUGGUUCUGAAUGGAAGGGCCAUCGCUCAACGGAUAAAAGGUACUCCGGGGAUAACAGGCUGAUACCGCCCAAGAGUUCAUAUCGACGGCGGUGUUUGGCACCUCGAUGUCGGCUCAUCACAUCCUGGGGCUGAAGUAGGUCCCAAGGGUAUGGCUGUUCGCCAUUUAAAGUGGUACGCGAGCUGGGUUUAGAACGUCGUGAGACAGUUCGGUCCCUAUCUGCCGUGGGCGCUGGAGAACUGAGGGGGGCUGCUCCUAGUACGAGAGGACCGGAGUGGACGCAUCACUGGUGUUCGGGUUGUCAUGCCAAUGGCACUGCCCGGUAGCUAAAUGCGGAAGAGAUAAGUGCUGAAAGCAUCUAAGCACGAAACUUGCCCCGAGAUGAGUUCUCCCUGAGACUUAGAGUCUCCU